rnacentral:rRNA from 1 species
UACGUAGGGUCCGAGCGUUGUCCGGAAUUAUUGGGCGUAAAGAGCUCGUAGGCGGUUUGUCGCGUCUGCUGUGAAAUCCCGAGGCUCAACCUCGGGCCUGCAGUGGGUACGGGCAGACUGGAGUGCGGUAGGGGAGAAUGGAAUUCCUGGUGUAGCGGUGAAAUGCGCAGAUAUCAGGAGGAACACCGGUGGCGAAGGCGGGUCUCUGGGCAACAACUGACGCUGAGGAGCGAAAGCGUGAGGAGCGAACAGG